rnacentral:lncRNA from 1 species
UUGUGUCCCCAGCCCUCGGGCGUUUCUAUCCAACGCCCACGUCAGCAAAUACCUUUUGUUUCUCUCACGUUGGGGCUACUUGUUUUAGGGCGCAAAGGAGCGGCUUCGAAAGUGGGUAUUUCCCCUGCGGAGGGCCAGGAAUCCUCCCCGAGCCCGCGCGCGCGACCCGCCGGUGCGCCGCGGCCCGCGGUAAGUGGCUGCGCGCGGCGCGGGCGGAGGGCGGGCGGGGCGUCGGGGCUGUCGGGACGGGCCGCGAGCCUGGCUGCGGGCGGAGGGCGGCGGCGGGCGGCGGCGGGAUGCGGCCCGGGCGCGGCGCCCCCAGACGUCCCCGGGCCGGGCAGGCGGCGGGACGCGCAGAGGCGGCCGGGCGCCAUUUGCAGCCCCGGGCGCAGAGGCGGCGGCAGAGGCGGCGGCGGCGCGCCGGCUCCGAGGGGCUGGGCACGGCCACAAAGGCGGGCGCGAGCGGCGGGCGGCGGGGGCCCGCGGGGCCGGGCGGGCGGCGCCGGGGCGCACCGGCUCGGGAGCCCGCGGCCGCCCCUCCCCGCGGCCAGCGCCUCCUGCGCGCCCGGGAGGGGCUGCGGGACAAUGGCCGCGCCGUCGCCGCCCGCGCCCGCCUCGCCCGGCCCGGCCCGAGCCCGGCGCGGGGAAAGGCGGGAAGGCGCGCGGAGCCUCCUGGCGGCGGCGGCGGGAAGGCGGGAAGGCGGCGCGGGGCCGGCGCCCGGCGUGUGUGGAGCCGUCGGGCGCGGCGGACUGGCGGAGGGUCGGCGGCCGGCGGGCCCGGGCUGCGCGGCGAGUGACGGGCGGCCCGCCCAAUGGGGCGGCGGGGGGCGGCGGGGGCCGGGCGGCCCGGGGGCCCGGGGCUGCUCCCCGGCGUCCCGGCGCUUCCUCGGGAGGGCGGCUCCUUGGGCAGUGGUCCGAGUUGCUCCUCCAUCCUCCAUCCUUUGGUUUCAUAUCGUGAUGCAACAGAUCCGGACUCGGAGCCGAAGGCUGACUUGCUACAUCUAA